UUUUUUUUUUGUGAAGAACUAAAACUUAGCUGUUUAUUAAAGUAGUAAUCCAUAAAUCCUGCCUUUCUUUUGUAAGUUGGAUAACAUUGGUAAAUUGGUUGUUUUUCCUUCAUUGCAGUACUGUGUCAAGUGUGCCAAGAAGCUUAUUCCUCACAAGCAACAGGGCAAGUAAGAGUUUUACAAAACCAGUUCAGACCAGGCCAGUAUUUUCAGGCAGCAAUAUCAAAUUUGCUGACACUUUGUUUUAUUCUACCAAUGUUAUUUACACAUGCUCCUUAGCACUGUACAUAUAAAGUCUUAUUUUCUAUUUUUUUUUCAAGCAUCCUGCCACUAAAACAUCCAUUUCCAAACACGUUUCUUUAAAGUAAUAUUGCAAAAUUCAGUACUGAACAGUUAAGUUUCUUUCUCGGCAAAAUUCUAAAGGUGAGGUGACAUUAGAGAUCUGCAUCUAGAAGCACUGAAGAGCCUUACAAGCCUUUUUAAGAUGUUAAAAAAACAAUAUAUCUGGCAUCAAGUUUCAUAGCAUUCAAUGUUUCAUAUCUGCACAGUAUCUUGAACAAUCUUUCUCACCUAAUUUCUGUACACUGCCUCCCUUCACGUAAUUAUUACCACAAAUAAGAGAUAAUCUAUUAAACUUCGAACUUUAAUUAAACUUCAAUUGUCAAAUAUUAAAGUCUAAGGAGUAAUAUCCAGUAUUCUUAACUUCUUUCAAAUAUAAUUUCAUGUUAGCAGCCAAGACCAUAUACAUCACCCACUCAAUGCAGAGCACAAGCAGCUCACACAGACCUCCUAAAUAAUGAUUCAGACUAAACCAUCUUGGGCCUCCCAGAGAAUUACAGAUGGGUUCUCCCUUAACUUUGUAACUGUCAUGCCACAUAGCCGUACAGGCCACAUAAGCAAAGACAGAAAGCAAUCACUGAGCUUAUUGUUUAGGAACAUUAUGCUAAUGAUUAUGCAUAAACAUUGUUGCUCCAUUCCUACAAGCCAAUUAAACCCAGACUGCAAAUAAUGCCCAAAGCAGCUCCUUCCAUUUUGCUUUUCACUAUUUUGCCUGAGCACCUUUUGAGAAAGCUGCAAUUACUUUUUUUUUUUAAUUGAAAUAACUUCCAUCUAUCAGCCACACAGGCAAAGGUCACUACAUGUAAGACGGCCCAUUCAAGGACUUGAAAUUCAGAUUUCUGCAUCCCUCACUGCCUAGAAACGGUCACGUCAUUGUUAUCAAUUAAUUUGCCUGCACAAAAUCAGUCCAAGCACAUUGGGUGGCUUUUACCUGAGUGUUCUUCGCAGAAAAAACCUUUUUGGUUAAGCCUCAAAGAAACUGGUAAAGAUAGAAAUUGACUGAUUUUCUACUGCUGUAGUACCUAGGAAGGCUUCUUUAACCAGUGUAUCUUAAUAGCUGCAGACACAUUACUAGAAUACAUGGGGGGGCUAAUUUUCCAACACGAUUUUCUGUGAAUAACCUACCCAACUCUCUUCACAAUCACCAACUCCAUAAUUUCUGGAUGGAGCAGUGGCUGGCACACAGAGGUAUGACCAAGCACACUUGCCAAACACACAACAGUUGUGUAGACAUUGCAAGUGGCAGAGUCCCAUCAUUCUCCUACCUGCCAUGUGUGCUACAGGACAAGCCGUCGAUGCUGCUCGGCUGUGCCAACCGAUCGAUCUCACUUCCUGAUUUCUUGUCCUUCAAUGAUGCAACAGCAGCCAGCACAGGGGCACGAGGGGGAAGCCUCCCUACCUACGCGAAUAACCCUAAAGUCUUCCUUGCACCUAGCUCGAGUAUGUUCUACAGAUAACC
rnacentral:lncRNA from 1 species